GAAGCUGGAAUUGCUAGUAAUGGCAGGUCAGCAUACUGCCGUGAAUACGUUCCCGGGCCUUGUACACACCGCCCGUCACACCAUGAGAGUUGGGAAUACCCGAAGCCCGUGAGCCAACUGAAAAGAGGCAGCGGUCGAAGGUAGAACUAAUGAUUGGGGUGAAGUCGUAACAAGGUACC
rnacentral:rRNA from 1 species